AAUGUUGAACUUUCAAUUUUUUACUCAAAAUAAAUUACCAUGGAGACAUAUACUACUCUUUGAAACAAUGCAUUAAGGAUGAUAUAUUUUUGAUCCAACUAAAUAUAGAAAAUGUGGUGAAUGAAAAAUUAAGUCAAUUAUCAAAUUAAAAAUAAAAUAAAUAAGUAAUUUAAAAUGUAAUAAUAAAACUGAAGUUUUGUAUAAAAUACAUGUUUUUCCAACAA